UCUUCCGUGGCGCAAUUGGCUAGCGCGUCUGACUGUUACAACUGUUCCUGAAAAGGAGCAGCUAGCAAUCAGGAGGUUGACAGUUCAAGCCUGUCCGGGAGAG